GUCUGGUGGUUCAUUUAAUAACUUAGCUAUGUUGUACAAGACUGCACAUGUAACAACAACAUCACAGACUCUCCUUGGUUCCACCUGCAUUCCAUGCCCCUUCAAGCACCUGAACUUGUUUUUCAGCUGUCCAAACGUCAUUUCAAUCAAACAUCGUGUCCGUGCAUGUGCCCUGCAUUUAAAAAAAUAAAGAUUAACAUUUCGUGAAGACAUUUCAGCACUUAAAGGGGAGCCAAAUCCAAAUAAUAACUUGCUUUUAAAAGAAAAUCAGACAAGUUGAUAUCAGACAAAUAAUAGGAAAGUUAUAAAAUUUGUAAAAAUUGGUAAUCAAUAUACUCAUGUAGACUACAAAUUGGCUGCAUAUAUAAUGAUGUCAUUAAGGCAAUGAAUACUCUCCUCUGUACUCCAAUAAGUAAAUUAGUUAUAAUGUAAUUUCUUUUGAAAUGUUUUACUUAAAAUAUUGUUUCUUUCAUGAAGACAUUAAGCAAUAUACGUUAUACUAAAUAGGUUCAUUAUUGUGGAUUGAAAUAAUCGCUAGAGGGUAUUCAUUUGUCUCGCAAUCUACUAUGGUCAACAAGGAAAUUCAUGAUCACUCUCGCAAAAAGUGUUCACUGGCUUUCUAGGAAAUUCGUGAUCACUCUCGCAAAAAGUGUUCACUAGCUUACAAGUUCACGAGCUUUCGAGUGCCGCUGCAACUCUUUAUCAAGUGACGAAAAUUAUCUGAUAACGUACUCUAUUUAUACUAAUCUCCAGGACCGUACUUGAGCGUCGGUGUGUGCGGUGCGGCCGGUAAUCCGUAUAUGCAAAUAAGCCGGGGGUAUAUGCAAAUACGCCAUGGGCGGGGGUUGACUAGCUGAGCGGUCCCUCAUUCGGGGCCGGGAACGAUCGGGUCGGCGUUCACUGCCAGGUAAGGGGGUAUUGUGCUGUCGGAUGGUUCGCAUCCAGAAGUCGGGGAUGUCGAUCCCGCUGUCUCUGUAGAAGUUGUUACGACAAAGACAUAUAUACUAAUAGCCUCCUUAAUCCUGCGUGUAUACCAAUGUCUCUCUUUGGCAAUGCAAUGUACACCCUCCCAAUCUGGGUGGUGUUGCUUCUCCCAAGCAUGUUCUGCCACCGCGGAUGUGUCGGUUCGCUGUAACCGAACAUUGCGCUUGUGUUCAGAAAUGCGUUCAACUAUCGGUCGGGCUGUUUCUCCGAUGUAAGACCCGUCACAUCCCUGGCAAGGAAUGUUGUAUACUACGCCAUCACGUCUGUGAUCAGGGAUAGGGUCUUUGGGGUGUACAAGCUGUUUGUGUACGGUGGUGUCCGAGCGGAAAACCGUUCGGAUACCGUGACCUUCUAAUCGGCGUUUAAGUUGUUGUGAAAGGCCAUCUAUGUAUGGCAAGACUGUGCGAGUCUUGAAAAAGACAGAGCAGCACGUAUUUUAACUCACCCACCUGAACUCCCGAAAGAAAGAGCACACAUACGUGGUGCCUUGUACAGCAACUGCUACCCACGCCGUUUUAUCAAGAACACUUUCAAGAAAAAACAACCACCAAGGGAUCAGGAGCCCCCCCCCUUUCCCCCCUCCCCAAAUGACAAUACAAUAAUGAAAAUUUCAUGUUUUUUUCUCCCUGUUCAAUUCUUAGGAAACUUGUUAAGAAUCAGAGGGUAAGAUGUCUCAGUACACCUGGAAAGACUCUCCCUGGAGUAAUGUUGGUGCUGCACUAAAUCAGAUACAGCAGAACCAGUCAUCAUUAGGUGCCCAGCCUGGUGUAGUAGGUACCCCUACCACUGUCUAUGGUCAAUCUAUGGUGAGCAGUAAUGGGUUAACAGGAGCUACAACAUUAUACUCUACUCCACAGCAAACCAUGCAACAAAGACAAAAUAUUGCCAUACAACAGGUAAAAGUCAUUUAAUUGUUGAGACAUACAAAGUCCCAAGGAAUUCAAUGAACACUUAACAUUAACAACAUUUUAAAAGUUGAAGAUGAAUUAUGCUGGAUAUCAAAAAAUAUCUGACAAUCACUGAGCGUAAAAAAAAUGAAAAAGAAAAGUAUCUUGGUAUUCCAAUUGGUAUUACUCAUAAUGAUAAUGUCAUAUUUCACCUAGGGUAGCCACUUCGUAUCCAAAAACUGUUCUCCCAUCAGACCCUGCUUAACACGAUAAUGUCAUUAUCAUAUCACAAACAAUUCUUAAUAAAUAUCUGACUGGUGUUUAUUUAUUGUCUUUUUUUACAGGGUUGCAUUUAAUGUUAGUGCAAUGCUGUUGUACAGCAUUGAUAAUGUACAAAUAAUUCCUGUAUGCACUGUGCUGGUCCUGCAUUCUCUAUCUGACUUCCCCUUUCCUACCCUCCCCCCCCCCCCCCCCCCGAUCCCUGAUUCUCAACCUUUUAUUCUCCUAUCUCCAAGCCCUACCCGUCCCCCUUACCUGAUUUUGAUUGAUUGAUUGAUUGAGUGAUUUUAUUUCUCAUGAUAAAAACAAUACAAAAUAUAUACAUUCCAAAUAUAAAACGUUAAUAAUUGAAUUACAUAUAUAGUAAUCAGGUACAUGAAUUUGAGAUUAUAAAAACUUAUAAGAGAAAUAUGGGAAAAACCAAAAAGCUACAAGGAGCUUGAAAGGGGUUAUUCCCAAUUAAAGAAUACGAUUGCAGAAAUACAUAUACAUAACUUGAUAAAAUAACAUACAAAUAAAGCAUAAAUUAACUUAACUGUAACUUGCCCAAGAAAACUCCUAAACACCCCCCCCCCCUUACAUGAACAAAAUCGACCUAUCUUCCAACUAAUAUGUAGAUAAAAUGUGGUAUUUUAAUUUUCUUUUGAAUGCCGAUAAAAAUGAGUAUUGCUUGAUCUCAGUGGGAAGUGAAUGCCAGACGUCGGGGCCCCUGUGUCUUAUUGAUUUAGAUGUUAACAAAGUUCGCGGAUUUAUUAAAUGGUAAUUUUCUGAGCCUCUUGUGUUAUACGAAUGAAUUUGGUAAUUACAUAUGAACAUAGAAUUGAAUUGGGAAGGCAAUAUUUUAUUUUUCAAUCUAAACAUGAAAAGUGCUGUCUGGAUGGUAUUUAUAUCCGCAACUUUUAGUAAUCCAAGCUCUUUAAAAAUUGGGUCGGUGUGGGCUAGAUAAUGAGACCCUGUACACAACCUUACAGCUCUCUUUUGUAAUUUGAACAGCAUAUCUAUAUGUUUGGAAUAACAAUUUCCCCAGACAAUAAUUCCAUAUGACAAUGAAGACAAGAUAAAUGAGUUGUACAAUAAAAUCAUCGCCUUAGUGGGAAGGUAGAAUUUAAGCUUAGACAUGAUGCCAAGCGUACGUGAUACAUUAAGUUUAAGGUUUUCAAACUGGGGGUUCCAUGUGAGACAUUCGUCAAGUAAAAUACCUAGGAACUUCACUGUUGACUUCUUUUCUAAGAUAGUAUUGUUUACAAUAAUGUUAUGAUUUGGGUUAUCAAUGAUUGGUUUGUUUUUACUGUGAAAUACUAUAUAAUUGGUCUUACUGAUAUUGAGCGAUAAUUUAUUAGAACGAAGCCAAUUUAAUAAUUUAGGGAGUUCAGUGUUAUACAGAGAAAAAAUAUUAUCCAGAUUUUCAUCAGCGUAAAGUAGGGUUGUGUCGUCAGCAAACAAGACAUAUUGUAGAUUGGGAGAAACAUGUGAGAUAUCAUUUACAUAAACUAGGAAUAAGAGAGGCCCGAGUAUAGACCCUUGUGGGACGCCGCAUUUCAGAUUUAGGAUAUCGGAUUUAUGAUUGUCAAAUUCAGUAUAUUGUUGCCGGUUGGAAAUAUAAUCACUAAACCAUCCAAGUGGCGUUCCCCUUACACCACUUUGUUCGAGCUUAUGGAGUAGAAUUUUAUGAUUAAGGGUGUCGAAUGCCUUGGACAGGUCUAACAUGACACCUACGACAAAUUGCUUUUUGGCGAUGGCAGAUGUUAUUUUAUCAUAUAUGUCCAAUAUUGCCAAAUCUGUAGAGUAAUUCUUACGAAAACCAUAUUGUGUAGGAAGCAGUAGAUCAUGUUUGAGUAAGAAAGCAUAUAAUUGAUUGUAAACUAUCCGUUCGAGAAUCUUAGACAUACAAGGCAAUAUUGAAAUCGGUCGAUAAUUGUUACAUUGAUUGCGAUCACCCUUUUUGAAAAUUGGUAUUACCUUUGCCAGUUUGAAGGAUUGGGGGAAAGUUCCUGUCGUGAGUGACAUGUUGAAUAUAUGACAUAAAGGAUCAGCGAUAUUAUGGAUAAUCUUUUUUAAAAUAAAAGUAUUCAAUCCUUCGUGACCACAUGAUUUACUGUUUUU